CGCGUAGGUGGCCCGGUCAGUUCGUGGUGAAAGCGCGGGGCUCAACCCUGCGUCGGCCAUGAAUACUGCCGCGGCUGGAGCACUGUAGAGGCAGGCGGAAUUCCGGGUGUAGCGGUGGAAUGCGUAGAGAUCCGGAAGAACACCGGUGGCGAAGGCGGCCUGCUGGGCAGUUGCUGACACUGAGGCGCGACAGCGUGGGGAGCAAACAGGAUUAGAUACCCUGGUAGUCCACGCCGUAAACGAUGGGCACUAGGCGCUUGGGGGAGCGACCCCCCGAGGGCCGGCGCUAACGCAUUAAGUGCCCCGCCUGGGGAGUACGGCCGCAAGGCUGAA
rnacentral:rRNA from 1 species